rnacentral:rRNA from 1 species
AUUGAACGCUGGCGGUAGGCCUAACACAUGCAAGUCGAACGCGAAAGUCCUUCGGGAUGAGUAGAGUGGCGGACGGGUGAGUAACGCGUAGGAAUCUAUCCUGUAGUGGGGGGAUAACGUUUCGAAAGGAACGCUAAUACCGCAUACGCCCCAAGGGGGAAAGCGGGGGAUCUUCGGACCUCGUGCUAUAGGAGGAGCCUGCGUCGGAUUAGCUAGUCUGUGAGGUAAAGGCUCACCAAGGCGACGAUCCGUAGCUGGUCUGAGAGGAUGAUCAGCCACACCGGAACUGAGACACGGUCCGGACUCCUACGGGAGGCAGCAGUGGGGAAUAUUGCGCAAUGGGCGAAAGCCUGACGCAGCCAUACCGCGUGUGUGAAGAAGGCCUUCGGGUUGUAAAGCACUUUCAGUGGGGAGGAAAAGCUGGUGGCUAAUAUCCAUCGGCCGUGACGCUACCCACAGAAGAAGCACCGGCUAAUUCCGUGCCAGCCGCCGCCGUAACAC